rnacentral:rRNA from 1 species
GAUGAACGCUAGCGGCAGGCUUAAUACAUGCAAGUCGAGGGACAGCACAGGUAGCAAUACUGGGUGGUAACCGGCAAACGGGUGCGGAACACGUACACAACCUUCCUUUAAGUGGGGGAUAGCCCAGAGAAAUUUGGAUUAAUACCCCGUAAUAUAGUUUGAUGGCAUCAUCGGACUAUUAUAGCUACGGCGCUUAAUGAUGGGUGUGCGGCUGAUUAGAUAGUUGGCGGGGUAACGGCCCACCAAGUCUACGAUCAGUAGCUGAUGUGUGAGCAUGAUCAGCCACACGGGCACUGAGACACGGGCCCGACUCCUACGGGAGGCAGCAGUAAGGAAUAUUGGUCAAUGGACGCAAGUCUGAACCAGCCAUGCCGCGUGAAGGAUUAAGGUCCUCUGGAUUGUAAACUUCUUUUAUUUGGGACGAAAAAGGGUCUUUCUAGACCAACUGACGGUACCAGAUGAAUAAGCACCGGCUAACUCCGUGCCAGCCGCCGCAGUAACAC